rnacentral:rRNA from 1 species
GCAUAUCAAUAAGCGGAGGAAAAGAAAAUAACAAUGAUUCCCUUAGUAACUGCGAGUGAAGAGGGACAAGCUCAAAUUUUAAAUCCAUCGGGUUUUACCCGAUCGAGUUGUAAUUUGAAGAGGCGUUUUCUGUGUUUCUGAUCGGUCCAAGUCCUUUGGGGUAAGGCAUCAUGGAGGGUGAGAAUCCCGUCCGGUUGAUCAGAUUCGCUUUACGAUACGCUUUCUAAGAGUCAAGUUGUUUGGGAUUGCAGCUUAAAAUGGGAGGUAAAUUUCUCCUAAGGCUAAAUAACGGCGAGAGACCGAUAGCGAACAAGUACCGUGAGGGAAAGAUGAAAAGAACUUUGAAAAGAGAGUUAAACAGUACGUGAAAUUGUUGAAAGGGAAACGAUUGAAGCCAGUCGUACCUUCGGGUAAUCAGCCUUUCGGGUGCGAUUAUGUGGAGUGUGAGGAGCUUAAACACCUUCAUGUUUUGCAUAUUCGUACUCUUGGAUGUACUUGCCCGUAUGGUUGGUUAACAUCAAUUUUGGUGGUCAAAAAUGACUGGAGGAAUGUAGCUUCGAUCUCGUAUUGAAGUGUUAUAGCCUUCGGUAGAUGUGAUGAUCGAGAUUGAGGAUUGCAACGGAUACCCUUCGGGGCUACCUGUCUGAUCUCUGAUCGUUGUUCUGGUGCCGAAAGCUUGCUUACGGUUAUCAAAGUCGAUGGUCAUAGGUUAGAACGGGUUAAAUUCGUUAAGGAUGUUGACGUAAUGGCUUUAAACGAC